rnacentral:rRNA from 1 species
AUUGAACGCUGGCGGCAGGCCUAACACAUGCAAGUCGAACGAGUGGCGGACGGGUGAGUAAUGUCUGGGAAACUGCCUGAUGGAGGGGGAUAACUACUGGAAACGGUAGCUACUACUGCAUACCUUCGGUUUUGCCUAGACGGGCUUAGCUAGUAGGUGGGGUAACGGCUCACCUAGGCGACGAUCCCUAGCCGGUCUGAGGGGAUGACUAGCCACACUGGAACUGAGACACGGACAAGACUCCUACGGGAGGCAGCAGUGGGGAAUAUUGCACAAUGGGCGCAAACCUGAUGCGGCCAUGCCGCGUGUAUGAAGAAGGCCUUCGGGUUGUAAAGUACUUUCAGCGGGGAGGCGUUACCCGCAGAAGAAGCACCGGCUAACUCCGUGCCAGCAGCCGCGGUAAUUC